rnacentral:rRNA from 1 species
GAUGAACGCUGGCGGCGUGCUUAACACAUGCAAGUCGAACGGAAAGGCCCAAGCUUGCUUGGGUACUCGAGUGGCGAACGGGUGAGUAACACGUGGGUGAUCUGCCCUGCACUUCGGGAUAAGCCUGGGAAACUGGGUCUAAUAUCGGAUAGGACCACUUCUUGGAUGUUGUGGUGGAAAGUUUUUUCGGUGUGGGAUGAGCUCGCGGCCUAUCAGCUUGUUGGUGGGGUAAUGGCCUACCAAGGCGUCGACGGGUAGCCGGCCUGAGAGGGUGUACGGCCACAUUGGGACUGAGAUACGGCCCAGACUCCUACGGGAGGCAGCAGUGGGGAAUAUUGCACAAUGGGCGCAAGCCUGAUGCAGCGACGCCGCGUGGGGGAUGACGGCCUUCGGGUUGUAAACUCCUUUCGCUAGGGACGAAGCGUUUUGUGACGGUACCUGGAGAAGAAGCACCGGCUAACUACGUG